rnacentral:rRNA from 1 species
GUGCACCAGGCGCGAAAACUCCGCAAUACGCGAAAGCGUGACGGGGCUACCCCGAGUGUCGUCCGCUGAGGACGACUUUUCCACGCUGUAAGGAGGCGUGGGAAUAAGGAGAGGGCAAGUCUGGUGUCAGCCGCCGCGGUAAUACCAGCUCUCCGAGUGGUAGGGACGAUUAUUGGGCUUAAAGCGUCCGUAGCCGGCUCAGCAAGUCUCCCGUUAAAUCCAGCGAUUCAAUCGGUGGAUUGCGAGGGAUACUGUUCGGCUAGGGGGUGAGAGAGGCCAACGGUAUUCCCGGGGUAGGGGUGAAAUCCUAUAAUCCCGGGAGGACCACCAGUGGCGAAGGCUGUUGGCUAGAACACGCCUGACGGUGAGGGAUGAAAGCUGGGGGAGCGAACCGGAUUAGAUACCCGGGUAGUCC